CAAACGCACAUGGAGUCUGUGAU
rnacentral:miRNA from 1 species